AAGUCGAACGAUGAAGCCCAGCUUGCUGGGUGGAUUAGUGGCGAACGGGUGAGUAACACGUGAGUAACCUGCCCUUGACUCUGGGAUAAGCGCUGGAAACGGCGUCUAAUACCGGAUAUGACAACCGACGGCAUCGUCUGGUUGUGGAAAGAAUUUUGGUCAAGGAUGGACUCGCGGCCUAUCAGCUUGUUGGUGAGGUAAUGGCUCACCAAGGCGACGACGGGUAGCCGGCCUGAGAGGGUGACCGGCCACACUGGGACUGAGACACGGCCCAGACUCCUACGGGAGGCAGCAGUGGGGAAUAUUGCACAAUGGGCGAAAGCCUGAUGCAGCAACGCCGCGUGAGGGACGACGGCCUUCGGGUUGUAAACCUCUUUUAGCAGGGAAGAAGCGAAAGUGACGGUACCUGCAGAAAAAGCACCGGCUAACUACGUGCCAGCAGCCGCGGUAAUACGUAGGGUGCAAGCGUUGUCCGGAAUUAUUGGGCGUAAAGAGCUCGUAGGCGGUUUGUCGCGUCUGCUGUGAAAUCCCGAGGCUCAACCUCGGGUCUGCAGUGGGUACGGGCAGACUAGAGUGCGGUAGGGGAGAUUGGAAUUCCUGGUGUAGCGGUGGAAUGCGCAGAUAUCAGGAGGAACACCGAUGGCGAAGGCA
rnacentral:rRNA from 1 species